AUUGAACGCUGGCGGAAUGCUUAACACAUGCAAGUCGAGCGGGGUGUAGCAAUACACCUAGCGGCGGACGGGUGAGGAAUACAUAGGAAUCUGCCUCAGAGCGGGGGACAGCCCGGGGAAACCCGGAUUAAUACCGCAUGAUGUCGCAAGACCAAAGUGGGGGGACCCGCAAGGCCCCACACUCUGAGAUGAGCCUAUGUCCGAUUAGCUAGUUGGCGGGGUAAUAGCCCACCAAGGCGACGAUCGGUAGCUGGUCUGAGAGGACGAUCAGCCACACCGGAACUGAGACACGGUCCGGACUCCUACGGGAGGCAGCAGUGGGGAAUAUUGGACAA
rnacentral:rRNA from 1 species